AACGAAAGCUGGCGGCGUGCCUAACACAUGCAAGUCGAAAGUGAUUGGAAGCUUGCUUCCAUGUAAGUGGCGACCGGGUGAGUAACGCGUAGAUAAUCUGCCUGGUGAUUUGGGAUAACACUUCGAAAGGGGUGCUAAUACCGAAUAAGCCCACGGUGUCUUCGGAUUCUGAGGGAAAAGGGGGGGACCUUCGGGCCUUCCGUCACCAGAUGAGUCUGCGUACCAUUAGCUAGUUGGUGGGGUAAAGGCCUACCAAGGCUACGAUGGUUAGCUGGUCUGAGAGGAUGAUCAGCCACACUGGAACUGAGACACGGUCCAGACUCCUACGGGAGGCAGCAGUGGGGAAUUUUGCGCAAUGGGGGAAACCCUGACGCAGCAACGCCGCGUGAGUGAUGAAGGCCUUCGGGUCGUAAAGCUCUGUCAGAGGGAAAGAAAUGUGGGUGGCUAAUUUCCAUACCACUUGACGGUAGCCUCAAAGGAAGCACCGGCUAACUCCGUGCCAGCAGCCGCGGUAAAAC
rnacentral:rRNA from 1 species